UGGCUCAGUGGCAGAGCACUUGCCUUGCAUGCAUGAGACCCUGGGUUCGAUUCCUCAG
rnacentral:tRNA from 1 species